AUCAUGAACAGCAUCUGCUUAGAAAAUAAGCAGGAACCAUCUAUGCCUCAGGAUAAUAAAAUGGCUCUAACCUGCCCUUCCUAAGUUUUUGGUCAAAUCCCAAGGUGCCAGGACCAACAGCGAUCAUGGCAGCAAAAUACAGCUACGUUUUCUUCUGAACUGAGAACCAAGUAGACAAAGCUGGUGAUAA
rnacentral:lncRNA from 1 species